AUGCCUAGCGGCGGAGGAAUUCGUUGUCAUGGGAACGCUGGGCUCGCCUGCGCUUGCCCCGCCUCCAGUCUGAGCUUUCCUCGCCCUUUCCUGCCCAGCCCUCCUCCCGCCAUCCUCCUUUCCCUUCCCUUCCUUUCCUUCCCUUCCUUUCCCUUUCCUCUCCCCGACCCCUCAGCAGCCCUUGGUGCUUUGGUCAUGUUUCAAGGUUGAGGCGGUAUAGCGUAGCUGCUGAGACUAUUUCCGCCGCUGUGCUGGGAUCGGAUCGAAUGCGGGCCUCGGAAGAGGUCAUCGAUCAAUCGAUGAGUCAAGAGUCUGACCCAGGAAACAACUUGAAGAUUUCAGUAUUGGCCUGAACCCUGUAUGAGACACAUUGGUUACUUUUUCACCGUACAGGAAAACGGAUGCAACCUUCCUUUCAAUUAUAUCAUUGCACCCUGUAUACACUCUAUUUUCUCUCCAUUGUGGAAAGCAAAUAUGGUAUUUCCUAAAAAGGAAAUAGAAAAUGAGGACGACGACCACUUUGAAGAUGCCUUUGAAGAAAUUCCAAUACCAACAACAAUUGAUCUUUCCCAAUCAAUAGAAGAAAGCACAACAGGAUUAUAUUUAUUUCUAAGUAAUAAAUUCUCAGAAGCCUUGGAUUCCCUUCAUCCAUUGUCUCAUAAAAGCAUGUAUCAUGCCAUUAUCUAUGGCACUAUUUUGGUUCUUCGGGCCUUCCUGACUUUUAAUGAGAAAGAUAUAGAUAUGGCAAAUACCACAAUUAAGGAAGUUUUGACAACUUGUAACAGCUUCAGAAGAAAAAGCUCAGUGAUGAAUUCAAUGUCUCGUCUAAUUUACAAACAUGAAAUAACUGUGCUUAAGGAAGAAGAAAUUCAUGCAGAACUCUGCUAUGCUCAAAGUUUAUCCCUGAAAGCAGCAGUAGCACUUUUGAAAAAUGAAACUCUGUUUGGUUUUCUUAAAGCUGGAAUCAGUUUUGGACUAAGUUACCAAAUCUAUAAAGACUGUCAAGAGCUAUUAUUGCAUUUACCAAACUAUUACAGUGAAACCCAGAAACAUUUUGCUGGAGAAAUAAAAUUUGGAAUUGGAACAUUCAAUUUGUUAGCAGCACUUUUACCACCUAAGAUCCUUCCACUUUUUAAUUUUGUUGGUUAUACUACCAGUUUGGAAUUAGGUCUCGCUUUACUCUAUGAAGGUGCAUCAUCUUCCAGUAUUAACAACAUCAUAUGUCUGUUAGCCUUGUUGAUUUAUUACUUUUAUGUUGCUGUAAGUUUUGGUACUGAUAAGAAAUACAAGCAUGAUAUCGAAAAUCUCCUUUUAAGUUAUCUCAAGAAGUUUCCAAAGUGUGUCUUCCUUGGCUUUUUCUAUGGACGCUUAAGCAUGCUGAAAGGAAAUUUUGACUCUGCAGAGUUAAAAUUUCAACAGUGCAUUUUUUUACAAAAUGAAUGGAAGCAGCUUCAUCACUUCUGUUACUGGGAACUUAUGUGGUGCUUCAUUAUCCAGCAGGAAUGGUAUUCUGCUUACCACUAUGCAGAGCUACUCUGUCAACAAAGUAAGUGGUCCAGAGCUUCCUAUACAUACAGCAAAGCUGUCAUUUUGACCAUGCUUCCUGAUGAAUUUGUGAAAUCAACAGGUGAGGAUAUAAAGUCUUUGUUCUUAAACGUAGAAAGCCUAAAAAUAAAAGUGUUAGGGCAUUUUCUCCCAGUGGAAACCUUUGCUAUUCUGAAGUCCCAACGCUACAGUUCUAUCACCGCCUGGAAUAGAGCACAACCUGUUCUGGAGCUUAUGUAUAUCUGGAGUGGUUUCCGAAUUAUGAAAAAAAGACGAGACCUCAUUGCACUCUGGCUAGACCUAAUUGAUAAAGAAGAGGAAGUUUUGCAGAAAACUCCAAACAAAGAAUAUCAACUAGAAGACAUGUGUUUGAUGUAUUUACUAAAAGGUCUAUGCCUUAAAUUCCUAUGCAAAUACUGGAGAGCUGAACUAUACUUUCAUCGUGUUAUUCAAAAUGAAAAAGUAAUCAAAUAUGAUACAUAUUUGGUGCCAUAUGCAUACUACGAACUGGGAUUACUACAAUAUCUACGAGGAGAAAAGAAUGCAGCAAUAAAAUCCAUAAACCUCAUUAAAAACUUUAAAAACUUUUCCAUGGAGACCAGGUUACAGUUUAGGGUUCAUUUAGCCCUUCAGCAAAUGACUAAAAAAAAAUGAUUUAAAAAUAAAUGGUGGUCUUAUUUCACCUAAAUGUAAUGUCUAAAAUAAACAAGAUACCAUUAACAAAUAGAAAAAUUAGUUCUGUGUGGAAGAAAUUGAGGAAUAGGUAGUUGCUAGAAGUUGAAUAGUAAGUAUAGUAGUUGCCAUCAUCAUAGUCACCUGUUUUCAAUAGCUAUCAAAUGCUUUGUAGAUUCAAUUUUGCAAAAGGAUUGACAUAUUCUUCAAUAAUAAAAUGAAGAAUAUGGAUCUGGGGAGAUUAAAGGGAUGAGAUCAUUGUUUAAAGGACUGAGGAUAUCUCCUGGCCCUAGGUGGGUGGUUCAGUGGACAGAGCACUGGGCCUGAAAUCAGGAAGACUUAAAUUCAAAUCUGUUCUCAGACCUAGCUGAGUGACCCUGAGCACAUCACUUAACCUCUGUUUGCCUUAAUCCAUUGGGAAAGGAAAUGGAAAACAACUGGUAUCUUUGCAAAGAAAACCCCAUGGACAAUAUGAUCCACAGGGUCACCAGGAGUUGAAGAGGACUGAAAGUACUGAACAACCACCACCACCAUCUGGCUCUACACCCUUAGCAUCUUCAUUCAUUCCUCACUGAUUGCUUAAGUCUGAGCAUUGUGGAGUAAUUUGAUUGGCUCCUUGUCAUUCAGUGGUUCAGUCGUGUCCAACUCUUUGUGACCCUGUGGACCAUAGUAUACCAGGCCCUUCUAUCCUCUACCAAGUCUUUCCAAGUUCAUGUUCAUUGUUUCCAUCUCAUCCUCUGCCAUUCCCUUUUCCUUUUGCCUUUAAUCUUUCCCAACAGCAGGGUCUUUUCCAGUGACCAAUGAUCCAAAACAAUUCCAUGAUGAAAAAUGCUGUCUACCUCCAGAGAAAGAACCAUGAACUCUGAGUGCAGAUUGAAGUUUAUUUGUUUUUUCAUUUUAUUUUUCUUGACUUUAUUUUUUUUAUUUUGGCUACAUGGCUAAUAUGGAAAUAUAUUUUGCAUGAUUUCACAUGUAUAAUGGAUACUUCAUAUUGUUUGCCUUCUCAGUGGGUAGAGGAGGGAUUUGGAAAGAAUUUGGAACUCAAAAUUAAAAAAAAAGAUUGUGAAAAAACAUUUUUAAAAUGUUCCCUUUUUAAGCCUAUGAUGAAGAUCAUUUUAAUUCUUUAAGAGAAAAGACUAUGGGUACUUUUUGCAGUGUCUGGUCAAGUUGUGUCUGACUGCUAGUCAUAUAUAUACUAUGCAAAAUAGGCAGGGAGAAGGCAAAGAAAUUUUAGGUCAGUCAUUAGUUAAGAAGGAAGCAUUUGUAUGUGGAGUACCUGUCCUGGGUGCUGGAACAUAGAUGCAGAGAAUGAAACAGUCCAUUCUUGUAAGGAGUACACAUUCUAAAAGUAGAGACAACAAGCAUGUAUCUAAGCAUAUUGCAAAGUAAUUAAAUAUAAUGUGGUUUAGGAGGAAGGACACUAGCCAUUGGUGAUUAAGAAAGGCUUCCAGUAGAAGUGAUGCUUGAGCUGGGUCUUGAAAUAGUAAAUAACAUAAUGUCUCUAUAGUUACCUAUUGAAUUUAUAAAACAAAGCUGUAGGCUAUGGGAAAUAUGACCUCUACACAAAGAAAGGCUGAUGCCUUGAGAAGAAAUUAAUAAAUUUAUAGAAUGUAUUAUAUUUUGCUUGUUAUUCAUUAUCCAAAAAAGCAUGAAAUAUGUCAAUGUUGAAGUUUUUGGUAUUUCUUUAACUUACUGCAGAAGUAGAGGCAUGAAAGUAAAUCAUUUAGUGCUGAAAUAUUGGAAUAUAAUUUUUGACAUCUCAGGGCUCACAUGGUACAUUUUUCUUGCUUUUCAGAUGAGGAGCUAAGGCUCAAUGAUUUGCAAAGAUCACCUGCCUAACCAGUGGCAAAAAUGAUAUUUAAAUUUGGGUCUCCUGACUCCCAGUCCAGUGCUUUCCUCACUAGGCCUCACCCACACUGCCAUGUGAGGUACCCAGAAGAUAACAGACACUCAUCAUACCAACAACUGGCAAGUAGAAACAAGAGCCUUAGGAUUAGCAGCAUCCUAUAGACCAUGGAUUCUGCUUCUAGCCCAGUCCUGCAGCCAUCAUCCAGAGAAGCUAUCCCUGUGGAGAAGGAACUAACCAUUCCCACCAACUGGUGUCACCUAUACCUUCAGUGGGAAGCCACCCUGAGGGAGAGGCAGGAGGCAAUAUGGACAAGGAAAGUAAAAUACCAUCACUCAACCACCAAUUCUCCUCAGACUGAUGGAGAAAGUCUAGAAUUCUUACCCCCCAAGAGCCUUAGAGAUGGUGGUAUGAAAAAUUAACACUAGCUUGUAUGCUUUUUCUUGGUACUUUUAAGAUUGGCCUUAUUAAAAGGGGGAAAUUUCCUAUUUUGUUUGAAAA